UAUGAGUAGUGAACAGGUUUGAUGGUGGCUUCUCCUAGUCUGGGAAAUCGUAUAAAUUGCAGAGCAAUCAAGAAGAAAAUUCGAAGAGGGCGUGGGACUUCAAAUGCUAUUUCUGGAAGGCGUUUUUCCUCUAAAACACUAUCUCCCCUCUUCAACGCUUCAACUCAAAAUUGGACCCAUGGGUUUGAAGGAGAUUUUAAUGAUAUUGUAUCAAUGAGGGAGAAAGAAGGGGAAGACCAAGGCCAGUACGAAAGAUGCUGAAUUUUGAACUUUUUAUUUCAGAUUGCUCUCUCUUUGAUCUUGGGUUUAAUGGCUCUAGAUUUGCAUGGUGUAAUGGUCAGCAAGAUCAGGACAGUAUUAGGGAACGAAUUGAUCGUGCUAUGGGAAAUGCUGAAUACUGUAAACAUUUUCCUAGAACUCAAGUUUUUUAUAUUGACCCCAUGGGUUCAAACCACCAUCUCCUACUUGUGGAUCUAAAUUUCACUUCUAGUAAAACUCCUUGGACCUUCUAAUUUGAAGAAUUUUGGCCCACUCACCAAGAGUACUUGCAGGUUGUCCAAAAAAGUUGGUAGACUCAGGUUGAUCAUCUCAACAAACAAGUUGACAUUUUUCUGGCUAGACUUUCUUCUUGUAAAACUUCUCUCACAAAAUGAAGUUCCAAGGUUUUCCCUAAUAACAGAAGAGUUAUUGAUCAACUCAAAAUACGACUCGUGGAUUGUAAACAGGGGGUUCUUGAUAAUGCAAAAAUCAUAAAGGCAAAGGAAUUACCUAUUGAAAUUGAGUAGUUGCUUGACAGGGAAGAGAUGUACUAGAGACAGAGGUCACAGGUUAUUUGGUUACAAGUGGAGAUCAACACUCUCAUUUCUUCCAUUUGACUGCCAUAAUAAGAAGACAAAAAAUAGCAUUUUGAAGAUAAGAGAUGAGCAUGGUAGCUGGAUUAGUGAAGCUGCAGACAUAGCCAAGGUUUUCACUUAUUAUUACACAAAUCUCUUUACUGCAUCACAACCUCGAUCAAUUGAGGAGGUUCUCAAUCAUUUGGAUUGCAGAAUUGAUGACAAUUUGAAUGUCAAGCUAUUGCUCCCAAUCACUAAAGAGGAAGUUCGUAUGGCUGCUUUUAGCCUAGGCUCCUCAAAGGCACCUGGUCUUGACGAAUUCUCAGGUAAAUUUUAUCAAUCCUCUUGGUCUGAGGUGGGAGAUAAUAUAUAUCCGAUUGUCCUUAAUCUUUUUAAAGGGAAAGAGUUUGUGGAUGGCCUUAAUGAUACUAAUAUUACUUUGAUACCUAAGAUUGAUAAGCCUGAACUUGUCACUUAGUUUUGACCUAUGAGGCUUUGUAACUUCUCUUAUAAAAUCUUCUCCAAAAUUUUAGUUACUUGUAUGAAACCUUUCCUUGAUAACAGUGUUUCUCUUAAUCAGGGGGCUUUCAUUCCAGGCCGAUUAAUUCAUGAUAAUUAUUAUUGCUCAUGAAGUGUGUCAUUAUUUGAGAAGAAAACGUGACAGUAAGAAGUAUGAAUUCGCUUUGAAGAUGGACAUGAGUAAGGCUUAUGAUAGGGUCAAAUGAGAUUUUUUGAAACAUGUGCUCUUGAAAUUUGGUUUUUUGUUUGAAGUGGGUAAAUCUCAUAAUGAAUUGUGUUAGCUUGGUCAAUUUGAAUUUCUGUCUCUCUGGAGCUAAGGUGGGAACUAUUAUACCUAGGAGUGGGUCAAGACAGGGGGACCCUUUGUCACCAUAUCUAUUUAUUCUAGUCUCUAACGUUAAAUCUAGUACGAUUAUUAAGCAACAGGAGCGACAUGAUCUCAAAGGCAUAAAAAGAAGUUUACAAUGGCCAGAAGUAACACAACUUUGUAGAUGAUGCUCUUUUCUUCAUGAAUGCAUAAAAAGCAGUUGCAGAGUACUAGUAAAGAAUUUGCAUGAUUAUU